rnacentral:rRNA from 1 species
GGGCCCGCACAAGCGGAGGAACAUGUGGUUUAAUUCGAUGAUACGCGAGGAACCUUACCCGGGCUUGAAAUGCAGAGGAAUGUUGGGGAAACCCAUCAGCCAGUAAUGGUCUCUGUGUAGGUGCUGCAUGGUUGUCGUCAGCUCGUGCCGUGAGGUGUCGGCUUAAGUGCCAUAACGAGCGCAACCCUUGCCAUUAGUUACCAUCAUUUAGUUGGGGACUCUAAUGGGACUGCCACCGUAAGGUGUGAGGAAGGUGGGGAUGACGUCAAAUCAGCACGGCCCUUACGUCCGGGGCGACACACGUGUUACAAUGGGUGAUACAGAGGGUUGCUACUGCGCGAGCAGAUGCUAAUCUCUUAAAAAUCAUUCUCAGUUCGGAUCGGAGUCUGCAACUCGACUCCGUGAAGCUGGAUUCGCUAGUAAUCGCGCAUCAGCCAUGGCG